rnacentral:rRNA from 1 species
GGGUUGUGAGGUUAAGCGACUAAGCGUACACGGUGGAUGCCCUGGCAGUCAGAGGCGAUGAAGGACGUGCUAAUCUGCGAUAAGCGUCGGUAAGGUGAUAUGAACCGUUAUAACCGGCGAUUUCCGAAUGGGGAAACCCAGUGUGUUUCGACACACUAUCAUUAACUGAAUCCAUAGGUUAAUGAGGCGAACCGGGGGAACUGAAACAUCUAAGUACCCCGAGGAAAAGAAAUCAACCGAGAUUCCCCCAGUAGCGGCGAGCGAACGGGGAGCAGCCCAGAGCCUGAAUCAGUGUGUGUGUUAGUGGAAGCGUCUGGAAAGGCGCGCGAUACAGGGUGACAGCCCCGUACACAAAAAUGCACAUACUGUGAGCUCGAUGAGUAGGGCGGGACACGUGGUAUCCUGUCUGAAUAUGGGGGGACCAUCCUCCAAGGCUAAAUACUCCUGACUGACCGAUAGUGAACCAGUACCGUGAGGGAAAGGCGAAAAGAACCCCGGCGAGGGGAGUGAAAAAGAACCUGAAACCGUGUACGUACAAGCAGUGGGAGCCUCUUUAUGGGGUGACUGCGUACCUUUUGUAUAAUGGGUCAGCGACUUAUAUUCUGUAGCAAGGUUAACCGAAUAGGGGAGCCGAAGGGAAACCGAGUCUUAACUGGGCGUUAAGUUGCAGGGUAUAGACCCGAAACCCGGUGAUCUAGCCAUGGGCAGGUUGAAGGUUGGGUAACACUAACUGGAGGACCGAACCGACUAAUGUUGAAAAAUUAGCGGAUGACUUGUGGCUGGGGGUGAAAGGCCAAUCAAACCGGGAGAUAGCUGGUUCUCCCCGAAAGCUAUUUAGGUAGCGCCUCGUGAAUUCAUCUCCGGGGGUAGAGCACUGUUUCGGCAAGGGGGUCAUCCCGACUUACCAACCCGAUGCAAACUGCGAAUACCGGAGAAUGUUAUCACGGGAGACACACGGCGGGUGCUAACGUCCGUCGUGAAGAGGGAAACAACCCAGACCGCCAGCUAAGGUCCCAAAGUCAUGGUUAAGUGGGAAACGAUGUGGGAAGGCCCAGACAGCCAGGAUGUUGGCUUAGAAGCAGCCAUCAUUUAAAGAAAGCGUAAUAGCUCACUGGUCGAGUCGGCCUGCGCGGAAGAUGUAACGGGGCUAAACCAUGCACCGAAGCUGCGGCAGCGACGCUUAUGCGUUGUUGGGUAGGGGAGCGUUCUGUAAGCCUGCGAAGGUGUGCUGUGAGGCAUGCUGGAGGUAUCAGAAGUGCGAAUGCUGACAUAAGUAACGAUAAAGCGGGUGAAAAGCCCGCUCGCCGGAAGACCAAGGGUUCCUGUCCAACGUUAAUCGGGGCAGGGUGAGUCGACCCCUAAGGCGAGGCCGAAAGGCGUAGUCGAUGGGAAACAGGUUAAUAUUCCUGUACUUGGUGUUACUGCGAAGGGGGGACGGAGAAGGCUAUGUUGGCCGGGCGACGGUUGUCCCGGUUUAAGCGUGUAGGCUGGUUUUCCAGGCAAAUCCGGAAAAUCAAGGCUGAGGCGUGAUGACGAGGCACUACGGUGCUGAAGCAACAAAUGCCCUGCUUCCAGGAAAAGCCUCUAAGCAUCAGGUAACAUCAAAUCGUACCCCAAACCGACACAGGUGGUCAGGUAGAGAAUACCAAGGCGCUUGAGAGAACUCGGGUGAAGGAACUAGGCAAAAUGGUGCCGUAACUUCGGGAGAAGGCACGCUGAUAUGUAGGUGAAGCGACUUGCUCGUGGAGCUGAAAUCAGUCGAAGAUACCAGCUGGCUGCAACUGUUUAUUAAAAACACAGCACUGUGCAAACACGAAAGUGGACGUAUACGGUGUGACGCCUGCCCGGUGCCGGAAGGUUAAUUGAUGGGGUCAGCGCAAGCGAAGCUCUUGAUCGAAGCCCCGGUAAACGGCGGCCGUAACUAUAACGGUCCUAAGGUAGCGAAAUUCCUUGUCGGGUAAGUUCCGACCUGCACGAAUGGCGUAAUGAUGGCCAGGCUGUCUCCACCCGAGACUCAGUGAAAUUGAACUCGCUGUGAAGAUGCAGUGUACCCGCGGCAAGACGGAAAGACCCCGUGAACCUUUACUAUAGCUUGACACUGAACAUUGAGCCUUGAUGUGUAGGAUAGGUGGGAGGCUUUGAAGUGUGGACGCCAGUCUGCAUGGAGCCGACCUUGAAAUACCACCCUUUAAUGUUUGAUGUUCUAACGUUGACCCGUAAUCCGGGUUGCGGACAGUGUCUGGUGGGUAGUUUGACUGGGGCGGUCUCCUCCUAAAGAGUAACGGAGGAGCACGAAGGUUGGCUAAUCCUGGUCGGACAUCAGGAGGUUAGUGCAAUGGCAUAAGCCAGCUUGACUGCGAGCGUGACGGCGCGAGCAGGUGCGAAAGCAGGUCAUAGUGAUCCGGUGGUUCUGAAUGGAAGGGCCAUCGCUCAACGGAUAAAAGGUACUCCGGGGAUAACAGGCUGAUACCGCCCAAGAGUUCAUAUCGACGGCGGUGUUUGGCACCUCGAUGUCGGCUCAUCACAUCCUGGGGCUGAAGUAGGUCCCAAGGGUAUGGCUGUUCGCCAUUUAAAGUGGUACGCGAGCUGGGUUUAGAACGUCGUGAGACAGUUCGGUCCCUAUCUGCCGUGGGCGCUGGAGAACUGAGGGGGGCUGCUCCUAGUACGAGAGGACCGGAGUGGACGCAUCACUGGUGUUCGGGUUGUCAUGCCAAUGGCACUGCCCGGUAGCUAAAUGCGGAAGAGAUAAGUGCUGAAAGCAUCUAAGCACGAAACUUGCCCCGAGAUGAGUUCUCCCUGACCCUUUAAGGGUCCUGAAGGAACGUUGAAGACGACGACGUUGAUAGGCCGGGUGUGUAAGCGCAGCGAUGCGUUGAGCUAACCGGUACUAAUGAACCGUGAGGCUUAACCUUACAACGCCGAAG